CCUACGGGAGGCAGCAGUGGGGAAUAUUGGACAAUGGGCGAAAGCCUGAUCCAGCAAUGCCGCGUGAGUGAUGAAGGCCUUCGGGUCGUAAAGCUCUUUUACCAGGGAUGAUAAUGACAGUACCUGGAGAAUAAGCUCCGGCUAACUCCGUGCCAGCAGCCGCGGUAAUACGGAGGGAGCUAGCGUUGUUCGGAAUUACUGGGCGUAAAGAGUACGUAGGCGGUUAUUCAAGUCAGAGGUGAAAGCCCGGGGCUCAACCCCGGAACUGCCUUUGAAACUAGAUAACUAGAGUCUUGGAGAGGUUAGUGGAAUUCCGAGUGUAGAGGUGAAAUUCGUAGAUAUUCGGAAGAACACCAGCGGCGAAGGCGACUAACUGGACAAGUACUGACGCUGAGGUACGAAAGCGUGGGGAGCAAACAGGAUUAGAUACCCUGGUAGUCCACGCCGUAAACGAUGAUAACUAGUUGUUCGGUCACUUGGUGACUGAGUGACGCAGCUAACGCAUUAAGUUAUCCGCCUGGGGAGUACGGUCGCAAGAUUAAAACUCAAAGGAAUUGACGG
rnacentral:rRNA from 1 species